rnacentral:rRNA from 1 species
UGGGGAAUAUUGGACAAUGGAGGAAACUCUGAUCCAGCAAUUCUGUGUGUGUGAAGAAGGUUUUAGGACUGUAAAACACUUUUAGUAGGGAAGAAAAAAAUGACGGUACCUACAGAAGAAGCAACGGCUAAAUACGUGCCAGCAGCCGCGGUAAUACGUAUGUUGCGAGCGUUAUCCGGAAUUAUUGGGCGUAAAGAGCUCGUAGGCGGUUUGUCACGUCGUCUGUGAAAUCCUAGGGCUUAACCCUGGACGUGCAGGCGAUACGGGCUGACUUGAGUACUACAGGGGAGACUGGAAUUUCUGGUGUAGCGGUGGAAUGCACAGAUAUCAGGAAGAACACCGAUGGCGAAGGCAGGUCUCUGGGUAGUAACUGACGCUGAGGAGCGAAAGCAUGGGUAGCGAACAGG